CUGUUUCGUGAUUGUCCAAACGCAAGCUCAGUUUUAAAAUACUGCGAUUGUGUCUGGACAUCUCAAAUCAG
rfam:Ciona intestinalis ciona0071, whole genome shotgun sequence.